CACUGCACACAGCAACUCUGCCAUCCAGUGAGGCUGCCAUGGCAACACGCCACCGUGUGGCAAAAUGAUCAGACUGUCUUUCGGAUACCCUUGAGAAAAUACCAUACUUAUAUGCUGUGUUGGGACACCAUGGGAAGAUGCCGGCUGAGAUGGCGAGAUUGGGGUAGAAAUACAGGAACUUGGAAGUACAGAUAAGUUCAGAGGGACAUUCAGAAGUAGGAUUCCGAGACACCAAGAAGGGCUCAUUCCGUCUCCUGCUCCAACCCUUCGGCGUCUGCGUCCUACUGUACGUCACCAGAGCUAAUUCCCUCACAGCCUUCACCUGAAAAACCUAAGGUAGAACAACUGCCACUGGUGUACGUUUCAGGACCAAGGAUAGCGUCAGAUUGUUCUUCAUACAGCAGUUAAACAAAAAUAAUAUGGUCUUAUUUAGCAUAAUGUGAUUGACCAAACCAUAUGCUGAUGCAAUUCAAUCUAGUCACAUGCAUCGUUCAACAGGCGGCUGUCUGACAGCUCCAUCUGACAGCUGGCA